CACAGAAAGAACCUUUUACGCUCUGCUCCCGAGUUUUAAACAAGAAAGAAGAGAAAAGGAGAGAAGAAUCCCCGUAUUACACCCAUGCAGAAUCCCAGGAGUUGAAAUGCUGUGGACACAACCUGAUCACAGCUGAAAUGCUGCAACACAUGCAGAAUCCAAGUACGCACCCCUUUCGAUUCCAGCACUACCCUGGCUGGCUCGUAGCUCCGUCACAUGUUCGUAUGAUUAAAGAACUCAAAUCACCUCUGAUUACAUUGACAUAAAGGCUGUAACAUCAUGGAUUUAGAGUUAAAGUGCCUGAAGAUAAACACAUGAAAUGCAUGUGCAAUGCGUCGCAUAGAGAUAAGGCAAUAUAAGCUAUCGUAGGUUUACCAUUGCUACCAGGCCAUUUGUUCACAAUUAAUUUGUACCUCCCGUUACUCUGUUCUUUGUUUCCUCUCCUUCAGGGGACUAGGGCGAAUGGCAGAGUCGCUACAGAUUAAUGAUCAGAAAA
rnacentral:lncRNA from 1 species